GCGACGAGGAUCGCGGUCAGGUCGUCGAUAGUGGACUCUCUCCGCGGCUGUGGCAUCUCCGGGAUUCGGAUCGACAAGGAGGAACUCAAGCGCAGGAUCUCGAUUCCUGGCUACCUCCGGUCGGCGAUGGUGGAGGCCAUCCGGAUCCGCGAUCCCGCCGCCGCCGCUGCGGCGGCGGCUUCCACCGCCGGACAGGAGGAGGCACCGGAGUCGCCGAUAGUCGUGUUUGUCAACUCCCGCAGCGGCGG
rnacentral:misc_RNA from 1 species